AUUGGUACUACAUGAACACCACGUAGAAACUGUGAUGUUCUUACAUUCACUGCUACUCUGAAAUAAGGGAUACAGCCAGGCAUUCUGCGCAUAGCAAAUACAAUAAUAAGAACAAGACGAGAAGAACUUUGAUGCAUGAAGGAUUUUGAUACAUAAUUGAGAGAUUUUUUUUGUGGGAUGAUGUCUUCCAGAGUAUUUAUGCAGUGUCUUACAUUUUUAAGCAAAUGUAUAAACAAUAAACAAUCUUCUUCAUCAGUGUCACUGUAUCCUAUUGUGUAAGUCCCUGGGGCACUAUAAAUAAAGGUUAUCUUGCAAUCAUCAACAACAAACAGAUGAAGAAGGAUUUCCCCACUGACAUUUAUGAAGUUUUCAGUAGUGUUUUGAUUUGAUUCAGCAUUUUUGAUAGUAAGUUAGUGUUUACUUGCUUGAGAUGUUCAAAGGCAAGCAAUUCUAUCAGGUUCACAAAUCCCACAACUCCCUGAAGGACUUCAGGAUCUUGCUGCGCUAUUUGGAAAUCACACUUCAAUCCACUGCUCUCCAGGGUACAUUUGAAACUUCACUUGUGUUGAAACUUGUGUCAGGGCUAUCUGUAGAUUCCUUCUUGCACUUGUUGGUGAAAGAGCUGAGUACUGAUUGCCUUCCGUGAGCACCUUUGGACUUCAGGGGGAGGAUAAUACAGGAGGUAAAGCAAUUUCCAGAAAUGAAUAAGGAAUUACAGUCCUGCAUCUAAUGGACCUUCUAGUUGCCCACUUCACUUUGGAAAAGAGGCUUGUGGUAUGGGAGUCAACUGCAGUGGGUAAUAUGUGGCAACCUCAAGCCUCUUUGAGAGUUUAUGAUUUUUUUUGAUGGUGAUGGGUUAAUUGCAUGUUAAGAAACUCAGACCUCCUUUAGCUUCCAGACCUGUAUAUCUAUAUUAGCUCAAAGUAGUUAUUUGUUUUGACAAGCCAUGGGACCUUUUCAGCAGCAAUCCUGGCAAUGGGCGUAACAGCCAUGCCAAGAAGAAUAAUCCACCUUUACGAAUAGCAUCACUGUCUCUAAACUGAAUUCCAGUUAUUUUGGUGACUGAUCCUUCUCAAAAAGCCUGAGACUUGUGGAUUUUUGAAAAUACUGAAAUUUGACAUCUAAAAGCGCAAGGGUAGAUAGGCUAUACUUAAUCCAUUCACCAAGAGGUGCACAGUGCAGACACUCAUGCUAUCAGGAGAAAAGUCAAAUCAGAGUUGACCUAAUUCAUCAAAUUAAUUUGCCAUGAGCUAAUGAGCUGUGCAAACAUUUUGAGAUCAUCAAUUUAUGUGUAGCAAGGAGCUGUAUAUAAUGUGAUCAAAGCAGAUUAAUUUGGACCAAAUGUGCGCUUUGUUUUGGUCACACCAUGUACUUCAGAGUAACACUUGAUGAACCAAUCUGCACAAAAGGUCCUGCAUAGAACCAUUUCCUUCAGUGGAAAUCAGGUUAUAUAGAGGUCAAGUGAUGGGACAGGGUUUGGUGUAACCCAUGGUGCUGUGAUAAUGCUUCUUGGUGACCACCUCCUCUUACUGCUGUUCGUAUUCUAGCCGAGCUGCAGCAAGUCAG
ensembl:lncRNA